UACGUAGGGCGCAAGCGUUGUUCGGAUUUACUGGGCGUAAAGGGCGCGUAGGCGGUCAGCACAGGUCACUUGGGAAAUCUCUGAGCUUAACUCAGAACGGCCAAGUGAUACUGCAGUGCUAGAGUGCAGAAGGGGAAAUCGGAAUUCUUGGUGUAGCGGUGAAAUGCGUAGAUAUCAAGAGGAACACCUGAGGUGAAGACGGGUUGCUAGGCUGACACUGACGCUGAGGCGCGAAAGCCAGGGGAGCAAACGGG
rnacentral:rRNA from 1 species